rnacentral:lncRNA from 1 species
AGGCCUGAGCCACCCUGCCCAGAAGGUACUGGUGUUCUGAGCGUGUAUGACAGAGUCUGCCAGGACUCCGAGAGAGAGGCUGAGCUGGGCAGCUGGAGCUGGCACAUGGUUGGUCUCUGUCUCCUCUCAGCAGGUGCAGGAAAGCAGAACCCAGCGCUCCAUGCUCCCUGCAGGGGAGAAAGGUCACACCAAAAGUCUUUGUCUUGAGCUCCAAAUCCAGAGUCCUUGUAGAGGCUGAAAGGCAGCGUGGAAGAUCAGGAAAGAGCCAGGCGGCCUUAGGAAAGGUUACCGAGAAAGGAAGGAGGUCGGCCCUGCCUCUGGCACCAGCCCCACUGGGCCAGGGUCCCAGGGAUUCACUGACUAAUCCCCAAAUGCUAUGCUCACACUGGCUGGCACUCUCACAAGUUCCCAUUGUCUCUCCAGCCGGCUGCAGGCCCAGGGCAGCCACGUCAAGAUCUCCUGCCUCUCAUUCACUUCCAGGGAACAGAGGCUCCCACCUCCAGGCACACGACGCCCCUCUGCCCUCUCCCAGCUGACCUAAGGGUCCAGCUGCCAGGUCAGCAGACACUGCCCAGGUAGGUGGCUGGCAACGCUUGGAAGAGGGACAAGCUAACCAGGCUGGCAUUUUAGACAGGCUGCCUUGCCAUCGCUCCACGGAGACUGCGCAGGAGAGGGGGCGUGGCCCGCAAGGAAGUGGGUGUCCGGUGCUGAGGGAAGGAACAGAUCAAGGUCAGAGGCGAGGAUUUCACUGAC